rnacentral:rRNA from 1 species
GAUGAACGCUGGCGGCGUGCCUAAUACAUGCAAGUCGAGCGAACAGACGAGUAGCUUGCUCCUCUGAUGUUAGCGGCGGACGGGUUAGUAACACGUGGAUAACCUACCUAUAAGACUGGGAUAACUUCGUUAAACCGUAGCUAAUACCGGAUAAUAUUUUGAACCGCAUGGUUCAAUAGUGAACGACGGUCUUGCUGUCACUUAUAGAUGGAUCCGCGCUGCAUUAGCUAGUUGGUAAGGUAACGGCUUACCAAGGCAACGAUGCGUAGCCGACCUGAGAGGGUGAUCGGCCACACUGGAACUGAGACACGGUCCAGACUCCUACGGGAGGCAGCAGUAGGGAAUCUUCCGCAAUGGGCGAAAGCCUGACGGAGCAACGCCGCGUGAGUGAUGAAGGUCUUCGGAUCGUAAAACUCUGUUAUUAGGGAAGAACAGAUGUGUAAGUAACUAUGCACGUCUUGACGGUACCUAAUCAGAAAGCCACGGCUAACUACGUG